rnacentral:rRNA from 1 species
GACGAACGCUGGCGGCGUGCCUAAUACAUGCAAGUCGAGCGGACUAGCGUUUUCUUCGGAAAACGCAGGUUAGCGGCGGACGGGUGAGUAACACGUGGGUAACCUGCCUAUAAGACUGGGAUAACAUUCGGAAACGAAUGCUAAUACCGGAUACGCAAUUUGAUCGCAUGAUUGAAUUGGGAAAGAUGGAGCAAUCUAUCACUUAUAGAUGGACCCGCGGCGCAUUAGCUAGUUGGUGAGGUAACGGCUCACCAAGGCGACGAUGCGUAGCCGACCUGAGAGGGUGAUCGGCCACACUGGGACUGAGACACGGCCCAGACUCCUACGGGAGGCAGCAGUAGGGAAUCUUCCGCAAUGGACGAAAGUCUGACGGAGCAACGCCGCGUGAGUGAUGAAGGUUUUCGGAUCGUAAAGCUCUGUUGCCAGGGAAGAACACUUAGGAGAGUAACUGCUCUUAAGCUGACGGUACCUGAGAAGAAAGCCCCGGCUAACUACGUGCCAGCCGCCGCCGUAAAAC